GAUCGAACCCUUACCGAUCCUCAACAAUCAUCCAUACACCAAUCGCUUUAUUGGUGUAUCAUCAUUUUCAUCAUUCCCGGCAACAACAACAACAACGACGACGUCCACCACACCGACGACGAUAGCCCAGCUAGUAGAACGGAAACAGUAGUCUAGCAUCAGCAUUUCAUCACCUGACAACAUAGGUAGCAUUUACGUGGACAACCACCGAACGAGACCACUAAACGAAGCCACAGCCCUUUGGACCCGCGGCAUCAGCAGUUCUUCCACAGCAACAGCAUAAGCAUUGCAGUAGGUAGUGAGGUUUGAUCGUAAUCAAUAAUUGAAUAAAGGUUCAGUUCGUUUUAGGCAGUAGAUCGAAUAAGUUCUUUUUUUAAAACUUAGUCUGGGUGACACCCUUCUUCACUGGCGCAGUCGGCAGUUCUAGCGUGGAGUAGUUAAAGUGUAGUGAAAAGUGUUCUUAUCCGAAAUCAUCGGCGGCUUACCGAAGAGCAAAGGAGGAAACACCUAAACUACAGAUUCUAGUGCACCGGCGGUUUACCGAGACACCAAAAUCAUCUUUAACGAAGCUUCACACCUGCUAGAAGACAUCGAACCAUCCGAGGGAAUAUCGGACAUCGAACCAUCCGAGGGAAUAUCGGACAAUCGAACCAUCCGAGGGAAUAUCGGACAAUUUAACCAUCCGAGGGAACAUCGGAUAAAACCCAUCCAUACAGCUACCAACAUGAAACCACGUGAAAUUUUAUAUGCAGCCAAAAAUGGACAGGAGAGACCGAUAGAAAUGGAACGCCUUGUUGAACUUCGUGACAAGCUGUACGACGAAGUUCAAGUACAACUAACCAAGACACAAAACUCACAGAAUCUGUACCACAACAGGAAGCGAGAGGAUCCGCCAAAACUAAAACAAAACGAAUUGGCAUACAACCGCAUCCAAGGAGUGAAGUCGAAAAUUAAGGACCGCUACCAACAAGUGCGAGUACGAUCUAACCGGAAACACACGUACAAAGAUAUCCUAAGUCGAAAAUUGCAUAAAGAAAAACUGCGACGAAUCCGAAAGUAACACCACAGAAUCUCUAAUGUGUUUUUUCAUUUGUUUUCUCUUUUUAGAUGACGUUUAUUUGGAAUAUCCUGAUAACAACCACAUUCCUUACUCAGCUAUCCCAACCACAAUCCAUCCACGUCAUUAAUCUCAAACAAAACCCCGGUCUUUUAACCAUAGAAACUGGCAACAGUUUUAUAAAAAUAGGCAAUCACAGAUUGUUUCAUAUCCUAGAACUGGAUAAUUACGAACCUAUUUUUAGAAAAUUGCUUGCUAAUAUCCAAGGAAUACGGACAUUCUCAAAUUUUACUGAUAUGUUUGAAAUCUUAGAAUCGAAAUAUGGAACCGUUCACAGUUUAUUCAAUAAUCUUCGGCCAAAGCAAAGAAAUAAAAGAGGAUUAUUUAAUUUUCUCGGAACUGGAAUAAAAAGAAUUACAGGAAAUAUGGACCAUAACGACUAUGAACAAAUUUCGAAAAAUAUUUUUGAACUGCAGAUCAAGAACAAAAGACUUAUUAACGAAAACAACGAACAGCUUAAAAUUAAUCUACAACUCCAAAAUAGAAUCAAUUCCAUUAUCAACCGUUUAAAUCAACAACAGAGUGAAAUAACUAAAAACAUUAUAUCAGCUAGAUUUGAAAACGAAACCAACAAAAACUUUAAAU